rnacentral:misc_RNA from 1 species
GGAAGUAAGUAACAAGGUUUCCGUAGGUGAACCUGCGGAAGGAUCAUUAAAGAACGCCCCGUUUUUUGAAAUGGGUAAUUCUAAACCGUGUAUACAUACCUUUGUUGCUUUGGCAGGCCGCCCCUCAGGGCGUCGGCUCCGGCUGACUGCGCCUGCCAGAGGACCCAAACUCUUUUGUUUAGUGAUGUCUGAGUACUAUAUAAUAGUUAAAACUUUCAACAACGGAUCUCUUGGUUCUG